GCCGAGGUGGCGGAAUUGGCAGACGCACUAGCUUGAGGUGCUAGCGCUCGCAAGGGCAUGCAGGUUCAAGUCCUGUCCUCGGCAC
rnacentral:tRNA from 1 species